UUACGGGAGGCAGCAGUGGGGAAUUUUGCACAAUGGGCGAAAGCCUGAUGCAGCAACGCCACGUGUGUGAUGAAGGUCUUCGGAUUGUAAAGCACUUUCGACCGGGACGAAACCCGGAUGGCCAAUAUCCAUCCGUCUGACGGUACCGGGAGAAGAAGCACCGGCUAACUCUGUGCCAGCAGCCGCGGUAAUACAGAGGGUGCAAGCGUUGUUCGGAAUUAUUGGGCGUAAAGCGCGUGUAGGCGGCAUGGCAAGUCGGGUGUGAAAGCCCUCAGCUUAACUGAGGAAGUGCGCCCGAAACUGCUGUGCUUGAGUGCUGGAGAGGGUCGCGGAAUUCCCCAAGUAGAGGUGAAAUUCGUAGAUAUGGGGAGGAACACCGGUGGCGAAGGCGGCGACCUGGACAGUAACUGACGCUGAGACGCCAAAGCGUGGGGAGCAAACAGGAUUAGAUACCCUUGUAGUCGU
rnacentral:rRNA from 1 species